rnacentral:miRNA from 1 species
CUAGCACCAUUUGAAAUCGGUUAUG